GAUCUCUUGACCUCGUGAUCCACCCGCCUUGGCCUCCCAAAGUGCUGGGAUUACAGGCGUGAGCCACUGCGGGAGCCUUGCUUCUAUGCGAGUAUUUCGGAGACAAUUAGACAAACAUCCCACAGCCCCAUUUUGAAGCCUGGCAUUGUGUUGGCUGCAGUGAAUUCUGGGGGUGGAGGUGGCUGGAGGGAAAGAGUUGGGAGUCUUGUUUUGUUUUGUGUUUCCUGGAGAGUUUUGGGUUCUGCGGGAUAAUAUGUGCUUGCAGGUGCAGCAGGAGUAGCAUUCUCAUUUCUCACGGCAGUUCAGUCCCUGAGCAGACGGGAGAGGUGAAAUAGAAACACACAUUACAGAAGGGACAUGCUUUCUUAAGGGCACGGGGACCGUGACACAUUGCUUUGAUGAACGGUGAUGGAGUCACACAUGGGGAAAUUCAACAUGGACACACCAGUCUCGCUAUGGAGACAUCUGUGUUGUAUGGGAGCUAAUGGCUUUGAAUGAGCCCAUAUUCAUUUUUCUAGCAGUUUUGAUACUAACAUAAAGAGAGAAUGUGUGUGGACAGAGGAGGCUGUCCUGCACGGACUCUGGGUGUACUUUGUGCCAGUGACAUUUUGUUCCAGAGUGAUUUUGCUUGUUCCAGUUUUUCUGAAAGGAAAGCUUCCCCACAGUUUUGGGGACUGCUGUUUGUCUCAUGCCACAUGUGAGGAUUUGUGGGGUCCACAGUCUGCGACUGUGCUGUCCAGCAUCGAUUCCAUUCACACUGGUUCUUACUUUCAAAGUCUAUUCUGUUACAGGGAGAAGACUGCACAUAUAACACAGCUCUGCAUGGAAAACCUUCCGCCUGGAGGGGUGGCUUCCUAGAGGUGUGGCGUUGCCCUCUGUCUUGAACAGGCUGUGAGCCGUUUUGUCAUUUGGGGUUUCUAGAUGCAAACAGCAGAAGCUGCUGGCCAAUUACCAAAGGGAACGUGCUGUUAGGAUAUCAGGGCCUGGGAGCUGCAGCAAUGUGGGCUGACAGCAGAGAGCUAAGGCACUUUCCGAGGUGACGAGCUGGGCUGCUAUGCUGGAGACGGCUGGGCAGAAGCAGUUAGCAGGGCAUUUCCUUGUGUCCUUAUCUCAAGAGUCACAGUUUCAGGAGUGAGCAUCUCAGAGGUCAGGGUUCAUUCACAUGCCACCUCCCUUCUCACUGUGUCAUUGGGGAGGGGCCGUCUGGACCCUCUGGCUCCUGUGGCAAGAAAUGGUCCCAUCAAGUCAUCCAAGGGCCUGGAAGCCUCCCAAGGAAAGCAGGAGGGCUGGGUGCUGAGCAGCGUCCAGCAGCAAAGGCACUUUCCAGGGCACAUCACGUGGGUGUGCGGUCUGGCUGCUGGGUCCACGCGGGUUCUCAAUCAUGACCUGGCUUGCAAGCUCUUUCCACAGUUGGAUAAAUGAAGCCGUUGGGGAAGUAUCCGCAAACUCUUACAGACUUUGCUGCCCACGUCACACAUUUCAUGUAACCUGUAGGUGUAGAGGCCUCAUUUUCAGACAAAGAUGAACUAAGAAAGUGUCUUCUCGGAGGUCACGGCUGGAGCCAGAUGGUCAGGCUCAGGCUGGGGCUGGCUUCCCUCGAUGUGAUGCACGGCUCCCAUGUCACGUUUCCCUGACUAUCAGGAGCUCCCAGAGGCCAAGGAUGGGGUGGCCGCCUGGACAAUUCAGACCUAAGGAAGGGCUCCUGGCCUCUUCCCUGAGAGCCUCUAAGCUGACUGCUCUCUUCCUGCUCAGCAGCUCAUGAUCCCCGGUGGCUUCCUUGAGCUGGGACUUGACUGAAACCCCUGGGACUGGCCCUCCAGCCACCCUGACUUCAGGGGGUCGAGGUGCUCACUGGGCCAGUGCUCAGGAGGCUCCGUGCCAGCUGGAACACCGGGAAACCCUCUAUCUGAAUCUUUGACCCAGGGAGGAGCCUGGAGAGGUGACGUCCCGGCAGGCCUCUCCCGCAAAACCCAGAAUCAGAAGUGGCCACACCAGGUCCGGCACCCACGGCAGCAGCAGGAGCCAUUUCUGGGACAACUUUGGGGAUAUACUUGUCCUUCCAAGUGAAAGGAGCUUAAAAAGACCCCUGAGCAGGAGAGAAAAAGUAUCUUCAAAGAGAACUCCCUUCAUCUUGAAGAAAGUGUCUGCGCUAGCCUCUUGGCCAUUGCGCCGCAGUAGAAUCUUAGGCUCCGUCACUCCUGUGACUUAAUUCAAUUGGCAUCGGUAUUUUGAAAAUAAUGAUUUUUCCUAAUUGUAAAUGUGAAAUGUAUUAUAGAAACGUCGUCCACAAGCCUCUCACUCAGAGAGAGACACCGAUAACUGUUUCUUUCCAUGGAGUACAUUCCACCGUCCCGUUUUCCCACCACACCGCGUGGCCUGACGCUUUCCUCUGUCAUGAACGGCUCUGAUACAACGUGAGAUGAAAUUCCAUCUCAGACAUGCACUGUGAUCACUCACCCCUCACUCCUCAAUGCCUGUGUGUCAUUGAGCACCUCACCUGUGCUAUAUAUUUCUCUUUAGGGUCACAAAAGAAUUGCUCUGUAAUCUCUGUGGGCAAGGAGAUUUCUCCCGAGUUUGAUUGGUUUUUCUGUUUUCUUAGGAUAGAAAUUUUUCUAGCAGUCAUUGGUCUAUUGAAAACACAAAUAAGCUUCACUUCAUACACUAGAAAACUUCAUAAUAUAAGGUUUAUAUUUGCCAUGAGAGGAAACAAAAUGUUGUCUUAAAUGCAUUCACGUACCCUAAGAAAAAUGGUAUGAAACGGUCAAGGAAAAGUUCCUUCUGAUAGUAAAAAAUUCACCCCCUUAUUAAACCAACAAUGAAGUUGCACUAGAUUAGAGUUUAGUUCCGAAACUCUGUGCUUUUAGAUAUUUGGUCCGUUAGGAUUUCCUGGUGGGGGGCACACGCGCGUAAGUCUCUUGAUGGUGGGGCUCUGGUUCUCUGGCCGAGACCACAGAUGUGUCUCCAGGCAGGUACUUCCUCUGCAAGUGUCUGAUGACCACAGUGAGGUGGGUGUGUUGAUAAUAAUCUACUGUCAUAGACACCUUACCUUAUUAAUACUGCUAAACCAGGAAGGGCACAAUUGAUAUUCUCAGGUUUUUUAAUCCUUUAAGAAGAAAAGAUAAUUAAAAAAAUCUUUUCACUCAAGAAGCAUACGAUAGAAUAUGGUGAUACAGACAAAGGGUAGGCCCACUGAUUCGAAAAUUACAGAUUGAAUCCCUGAGACAAAUAUCUCCCCUGCUUUCAGGUAGAUUACUGUCUACAGGUGGGAUAACCAUGUAUAAAAUUAUGUCAAAUUGUGUUGUGGUAUGUUUUGAUUCCUUUGAAAUAAGGGCUUCUCCUUUAUCCACACCACUAUCAAUGAAGAGUUAUUGACACUCUAUUAGCCAAUCAUAACAACCAUUAUUUAUUAGUGACUAUUACAUAUCAGAUAUUUUACACACUUUAUUUCUAGUCUUCCAAAAACCCUGCAUGAGAG
rnacentral:lncRNA from 1 species